GGGAAUGUGGCUUAGUGGUAGAGUGCUUGCCUGGCAUGCAUAAAAUCCUGGGUUUGAUUCCUCAGCACCA
rnacentral:tRNA from 1 species